rnacentral:pre_miRNA from 1 species
AAAGGGGGGGGGGGGUCCCUCAGCCUAGAUUGCGAGAGGGUGCAGGCAAGGCCGAGGGACCCCACCGGUGCAUG